GACUGGGGUCCCUGGUGCGGGGAGGUGCCACCUCAGGCUCUCGCCUCUCUGCUCCCGCUGGCUCUGGAGUUGGGGGCCCCGGUGGGGCUCUGAAGCCUGCCUCAGACUUGGGUCAAAAGUCAAACUGCUGCCCCCCCAGCCCGCCCCUACCCCAAAAUCCGGUGAGCGGUAAGGAAAGUGAUGCCAAGUCUUCGAAGCCUCAGUGAAAAACGUAUAGCAAGCACACGUCCACUCCAGAGAUACCUUCUUGAAACAAAAGAUUUUCCUACCUGCUUAUACUUGGUGAUUGAGGGAAUUACUAAGACUUCUUGCUCAUUUCUGAGUAUUGUCUUUAUAUCCUGACACUAUGAAUGCUAUUUGGAUGCCUCUUAAGGAUUGAUUGGCUGUACCUUACUUUGUAUUGCUGCUGUUCUUUGAUUAUUGGUGUGAACGUUUUAAUGAAGUUCUGAAAUUAACUUCCAUUAUAACGAA